rnacentral:ncRNA from 1 species
GUUGUAGUACUUUAUAAAAUUGCCAGACAGCUGGGCUAUACAGACAGAUUUAAGGUUAUGGUAGCUGUAAUAUGUGCUAUUUACUAGUUUGUGUAUAUUUUUUUUGAAGUUCUUGAAGCAGCUGCUCAGACGAGGCUCUUUUGGCGAGUCGGGCUGUUUGGGAAUGCAGCCUUAAGUGGGUGGUAAAUUCCAUCCAAGGCUAAAUACUGGUGAGAGACCGAUAGCGCACAAGUACCGCGAGGGAAAGAUGAAAAGGACUUUGAAAAGAGAGUUAAAAAGUGCUUGAAAUUGCUGGGAGGGAAGCGAAUGGAUGCCUUAUGCGCAACUUGGUUGUGUGUGGAACGGCGAGAGCUGGUCUGCCAAGCAAUGCAAGGGGCUGUCCAGCAUGGGAGGACGCGGCAGGAUAACGGCUUGUGAACCUCUGGCUCCCUGCCAAUGCCGCCGCUGCCUCUGAAAAUGGCGGGGUGCUCCGGUGCCCCACCAGAUGCUGGAACUUGGGCGUUCCAUCCAACCCGUCUUGAAACACGG